UGGAAAUGAGUGGAGUCGAACCGAACCUGUCUGAGCUCGGCUCGACUAGAUAAGAAUUUGUUCGGCUCAAAACUCGACUCGAGUUCGACACGAACUUUUUUUCAGCUCGAAUUCGACUUGUUUAAAGUUCACGAAUAGUUCGGUUCGACUCGUUAGGUUCA
rnacentral:pre_miRNA from 1 species